rnacentral:rRNA from 1 species
UCCUACGGGAGGCAGCAGUGGGGAAUAUUGCGCAAUGGGCGAAAGCCUGACGCAGCGACGCCGCGUGAGGGAUGAAGGCCUUCGGGUUGUAAACCUCUUUCAGCAGGGACGAAAACAGACGGUACCUGCAGAAGAAGCACCGGCCAACUACGUGCCAGCAGCCGCGGUAAUACGUAGGGUGCAAGCGUUGUCCGGAAUUAUUGGGCGUAAAGAGCUCGUAGGCGGUUUGUCGCGUCGGCUGUGAAAACUCGGGGCUCAACCCCGAGCCUGCAGUCGAUACGGGCAGACUAGAGUGCUGUAGGGGAGACUGGAAUUCCUGGUGUAGCGGUGAAAUGCGCAGAUAUCAGGAGGAACACCGGUGGCGAAGGCGGGUCUCUGGGCAGUAACUGACGCUGAGGAGCGAAAGCGUGGGGAGCAAACAGGAUUAGAUACCCUGGUAGUCCACGCCGUAAACGGUGGGUGCUAGGUGUGAGCGGUAUUCCACGCCGUUCGUGCCGCAGCUAACGCAUUAAGCACCCCGCCUGGGGAGUACGGCCGCAAGGCUAAAACUCAAAGGAAUUGACGGGGGCCCGCACAAGCAGCGGAGCAUGUGGCUUAAUUCGACGCAACGCGAAGAACCUUACCAAGGCUUGACAUGCAGGGAAAUCUCCCAGAGAUGGGAGGUCCGCAAGGGUCCUGCACAGGUGGUGCAUGGUUGUCGUCAGCUCGUGUCGUGAGAUGUUGGGUUAAGUCCCGCAACGAGCGCAACCCUCGUUCUAUGUUGCCAGCGCGUUAUGGCGGGGACUCAUAGGAGACUGCCGGGGUCAACUCGGAGGAAGGUGGGGACGACGUCAAAUCAUCAUGCCCCUUAUGUCUUGGGCUGCACACAUGCUACAAUGGCCGAUACAAAGGGCUGCUAAGCCGCGAGGUGGAGCGAAUCCCAAAAAGUCGGUCUCAGUUCGGAUUGGGGUCUGCAACUCGACCCCAUGAAGUCGGAGUUGCUAGUAAUCGCAGAUCAGCAACGCUGCGGUGAGUACGUUCCCGGGCCUUGUACACAC